GACGAACGCUGGCGGCGUGCCUUACACAUGCAAGUCGAACGGCAGCACGGGGGCAACCCUGGUGGCGAGUGGCGAACGGGUGAGUAAUACAUCGGAACGUGCCCAGUAGUGGGGGAUAGCCCGGCGAAAGCCGGAUUAAUACCGCAUACGACCUACGGGUGAAAGUGGGGGAUCGCAAGACCUCGCGCUAUCGGAGCGGCCGAUGUCAGAUUAGGUUGUUGGUGGGGUAAAAGCCUACCAAGCCGGCGAUCUGUAGCUGGUCUGAGAGGACGACCAGCCACACUGGGACUGAGACACGGCCCAGACUCCUACGGGAGGCAGCAGUGGGGAAUUUUGGACAAUGGGCGCAAGCCUGAUCCAGCCAUGCCGCGUGCGGGAAGAAGGCC
rnacentral:rRNA from 1 species